GGAACAACACGUUCCAUAGACAAAUUACCCAACAAAGGCAAAGAGAACGUGCUUCAAGGGAACACUGGGCGCCUGGCUCCACUGUAUUAUGGAGGAGGAGGGGAGGCCUGGAGCCAGUCAGGUGUGGGCACCCACCGCUGGCCGGCCAGAGGGGCUCCAUGCCUGAGCUGUGGGAGGGAAACCAGAAAGGCCUUUUGUGCAGACCGGGCACUGGUUGGCUUUCAAGCAGCACGUCUUUCUUCCAAAGCCAACCCUUUGAUCCCUGGAGACAUAAAAGGAGCCAUCUGCAUUUGUGUUUCAUACAGAUGUGAAUGCCGCACAGAACAGCGCUGUGUUGAGAGAGGCUGCAGGUGGAGUGAGGAUGAUGUCUCACUAAAUGGCUUCUCCUUUGUCCUGAAAGCCUGGGGCGCUUUGACUGGCUUCCUAAUCAGCGUUUCUGAGAAACCACUUCUCCCUCCCAACCUGGCAUGUUACUUGGACUAGACAAUCUUCAACAGGGACCUCUCUAGCCAGGAGGUUCUCUGCGCGUGCCCUCUCCUGUCUGGCCCCUUCUUCUGAAUUAAUCAACUUCUAGGAGUUUUCAGGGGCCCCAAUUUGCUGCUCACACUGUGGGAUUCGUCCUCGAGUUGCAUCCCAUGUCUGCUCUUAUUUGACUGUUUAUCUUGUUCUGAUUCUGGGCUAACUAUGUACACACUGUUGCUUCCAAGCCCCCAGGGAAGGAGUUCCUCUAUCUGAACCUCUCUUUGUAGAAAUGUGCCAUCAUUCUUAUAAGAAGCUGAGGCUCCUCUCCUGCCCUCCCCAGACCCUGUGGAUGACAGAGUGCUCACUGCUGUGGCUGUGAAGUGCAGAGCCUUCCAUUGGGGGGGGGGGGUAAGACCUGGGAGGUGGCAUACUACAAAGUAGACCGCGAGGGCUCCAGGCCUGGUGAGAGACACAUGUCUAGCGCACAUUGGUGUUGAGGCAGGAGAAGCCCCUGUGGGCAGGGAGAGAAGGCAACUAUUAGAUCAGACUUUCAUCGGCAGCCAGGUGGCUUUGCACUGAGCUACCCGCUCUGUUCCCAGCGGUGGAAUAGCAAGAGGGGGUAGUGGCAAAAGAGGCGCUCUUUGCAGCCAGGGAUUCAGAUUUACCUGUGGGAUCCAAUGCGUGACCUCAGCCCCUGCAGUUCAGAGCUCCAUCCCGACCCCUGGGAGCCAGCGUACGCCGAGUGCUUUGGGCUGCAGAGGACGUUCAUGGCCUCCUCUUUGGAACUGUUGGUGGUCUCUCAGUGCACCCACCUCUGCCACGCCUUGCAGGUGCUCAGGAGCUGCCCAUGGGCAGCGGACCAGUAGGAAAUGGUGCUCCUCUCUGCUGGUUCCCUAGGAAGUUGGGUAGAUCCUGAUUGUGCAAAGGCCAGGAUGACUGUCACCCAGGGGUCACCCUUCUCCUUAUAUCAUGAGCCACAGUUCAGCAUUGUUUUUAAAAUGUCUGCUCCUGAUGUCAGGAAUAUGUUCCCUCCUAACUCACAAGGUUGGCAGACAGAAUAUCCUGGGACUGGUCAUCUGUCAUCUUGCGGCUGAGACCACCAAUUGUUCCUUUAUAUCUCUUCUCCUCCUCUAAGAUAAUAGAAGUUUUAGUUGGGUACAAAGCUCUCCAUGAAGGACUACAUUUUCUUGCUUCCUUGCAGUUAGAUGUAGCUUGUGACUAGGUCCUGGCCAAUGGCAUGGCAAGGAGGGAGCACUCGCUUUCAUCUUUCCCUUUCCCACUGGCUGGAAUGCAAACACAGUGGCAGGAGCUGGAGCAGUCAUUUUGGACUACAUGAUAAAAGCUGCACGUUGAGGAAGGCAGAGCAACAAGAUUGAAGGAAGCUGGAUACCUGACACCAUUAAGCCACCACAUCAUCUGUGGAUCACCUAUUUGGAUGUUUAUAUGUGAGUGAGAUCAACUUCUAUCUUGUUUAAGCCUCUGUAUUUGGGGGUUUCUUUGUCCUGGCAGUGGAACCCAUAUACUCCCUGUUGUUGUCUCUCAGUGGAAUGGCCCCAUCUGGGCCUACAUGGAUGUGUCUGCUCACUGAUGAGCCUGGGGACCCCUUAUUUUGGUGGACUCUUACUUUGGUGGUCCCCAGUAGAUCAUCCCUCCCAAUAUUCACACCCUUGUAUGGUCUCCACUCACAAUGACUCUGGACUCGGCCAUGUGACUUGCUUUGUCCAAUGGGACAUUAGCAAAUGUGAUGCAAGCAGGAACUUGGCAAGCACUUGCACAGUGGGGCUUGUCCUCUUAGAGCACUGGCUCUUGGGAUGCUCCUUCUCCAAACCCAGCUGCCAAUCUUGAGAAGCCCAACACAGCCAUCAGCAGAGGCCACAUGGUGGAGAAUGAAGGCCCCACCCUCAGUGCCAGCUAACCCUGCACCAACUUGCCAGCAUUAGAGCAAAGCCAUCCUAGAAGUGGAUCCUGCAGUCAGAGGCAUGGAGCAGACACGAACUGUCCCUGCCACACCCUGUCCAAACUGCAGAAUAGAGAUCGAACAAAUAACUGUUUUCUUAAGCCACUAACUUUUGGGAUAGCUUCUUAUGCAGCACUAUGUAACUGAAACACAUGGGGACGGCCCAGGGCCCUUUGCACUGUCUGAAAAACUCUACAUCCGCUGUGCCUUCUUCUAUACCAAAAUGCCAAAUGGGUCUUCCUCACCGUUUGAAACUGAAACACUACACGGGAAGUUGCUGAUGCUCUGGAAAUACGUCAGGGUGGCCACCCUUCCCUCCAGAGCACCAUGUCCCUCCCUCAGCCCCUGCCAGGUGGUUAUUGCUUGGCUUCAUGCUUGACUUUGUAGCUCCGGGGAUGGGGACAGAUUCCAUGGACCGCUCCUGCUUCCUCAUAAAGCUGCUGGAGUGCCAUGUCUCUUAGAGAAGAAUUUGGGGGCAGUAUUUGGCAGGCAAAGGCUACCUAUGUCGAUAAUGGACUCUCCAGUGCCCACAUGAAUAAGUAUUAGAGGAACAAAUGAAUGAAUGAAUGAAUUGUGAACAAAACGUAACUCAUCUGGAACAGAGCAGGAGGUCAAGGAGAGAGACUAGAGAGGGCUCUCCAGGGAGGGCAGGUCAGUAGAGAGCCUAGGUCUAAUGAAAGCAUGCUUUGGAAAUAUUUUUAACCCUUUUAAAAUAUAAUUAUAGUAGCUAGCAUUAUUGAGUUCUUAUUAUGUGCCAGGCACUGUGCGAAAUGCUUUAUGUAAGUUAUUGCUUUAAUCAUCUCAACAACCCUGGGAGGUAAGUGUUAUAACUUUCAUCCCGUUUUAUAGAUGAGGAAAUCAAGGCCCAGAGAGGUUAGGUAACUUGCCUGAGUGGGCAUGGGAGGACUUGAACUCAGACAUUCUGGCACCAGCACCCAAGGGCAUAGCCACCACACUCUGACAAACAGUAGGAGUCCCAUAUUCCACCCUGGAGAAAAGGCCAGGCCUUGGCAUGCUCUAGGGCACAAGCACCAACCCUGAGUCUACCAAGUGCUCCUGGGAGAGCCCAGGAAAGCCUAGGUCAGAAGAGAAGAGGAAGGAGAAGGGAGAUGAGUCUGGGGUCUGUGUCCAGGCAGCAGGGGCAGUAGCAUUGGGGCACAGAGAUGGCGCUGCCCACCCUGCAUGAGCAUCCUCACUGACUGCUCCCACUCACUCCUCAGAAAUGAGCCUGGCCCAUUCACACGUGUCCCUAAUGCCAGGUUCCAAGAAAGCCACCUAAAUACCUGGUAUUUGAGAUGUAAAGAGACCGGCUCCCUGUACUUAGCGUUUCGCUAACUUUUCCAAUUAUAGCGCCCUAUUUUCCAAAGUCUAAAAUGGACAUAUGUUAUAACUGUCUUGGGCCCCCAAGGUUUCAGAAACACCCUUUAGGCUCCUGAAAUACAAUUGUAUAUUUUAGACUAAUUCCUAAAGGGCUAAGCGGGGUUAUCUUUAACAUCUGCCAGCGCUCACACAGAUCUGCUCUUUGUUUGCAAACGAGCCUGGAGCCUGGGCACAUGGCAGCCUCAGGUGGGACCAGCUCUGUGCUGGGCUGCGUGGGAAGACCCAAGGAAGGGAGAUCCCAGGCUUGGAUGGUGUUGGGGGUGGGAAGGAGACACAGUCCUGCCUUCAGGGAGCCUAAGUCUGAGGGGAGAACAUGGCUCAGCCCUCUGGGAGCCCCAGUCUGAGGGGAGACACGGCCCUUAGGAACACCCCAGGCUAAACGAGGAGGCAGGACCCAAACCAAAACCCAGCAGAGGACCUUGGAGCACCUGGGGAGGGCUUCCCUUUGCCAGCUCUGCUGUCACAGGGUGGGCAGGUGGCAGAAGGAGGAAGGUGGGAAGGCUGCCUGGUGCUCCCAGAGCCUGGACGCUGGUGGAGUAGGUAGGUGGGGGCAAUGGAUCUGAACUGUAAUCGUUCCCUGGAGCUGAGGUGGCUUCAGCACUGCCAGCCGGGGCAUUUUCUGGUCAAUCCCAACCGUCGUUAUUAAACAUUUAUUAUGCAAGGGAGAUGUGCUUUUCUGGUCUCAGUGCUUGGCCAGCGGACUUAGUGAGUAAAUGGACUAGAACUAAUCCUGUAGCUAAACAGCAAGGGCUUCAGAAAAGUAAACGCCUCACUUGCCUAAUAGCUCCCAGGGAGGGGCGAGAUAUAGAGUAUCAGGCCUUUGACUGCCCUUUUCCUGAGAUUGGAGAGCAGCUGCCUGGCAGCCAGGUCUCCUGAUGGCUUAGUGAACAGACAGGGCAGAGCCGACUGUGGGGCAAAUUGGGAGGAAGUCCAGUGUAGGGGACAGAGUCCUGGCCUGGCAGCAGAAGAGCUGUGUUUGGGUCAAGCCAGUUUUUAAUUUGUGGAGCAUUGCCUCAGAAAUUGGGAGGGACAGCCCUUCUCCCCAGAGGCUAGAGUCUGGAAGAGGAGGAGAGGGGAAGAGUCCUCUGUCUGAGGGGAGACCCAGUGUGAGUGGAGACCCGGUCUGAGGGGAGACACAUUCCUGCCCUCAGGGAACCCCGGUCUAAGGAAGGAGAAGAUGUAGCGAAGGGGCUCAAGAGACAGAGCCACCAAACAGGCUGGGUCUGUGGGAAGCAGGGUCCGUCCUUCCCCAUCCACCUCAUUACUUACCCAGAGAAAGCCAAGGGAUGCUGGGAUAGCCAUCUGGAGGGAGCCAUUCUGGGCCUGGACAGAGACUAGAAUGGGGUGUGUGCUCUGCCGUUACCUAGAGCCACUUUCUAGGCAGAGUCAGCCCCACAUUCCAUGUAAGUCUUGUAGGUCACACCCCGAGUGAGUGCCUACAAGGGUCAGCAAAUGUCCCUAUGGUACUAGCCAGGCAAUUUUUUUGUGGUUGGGGAAGCAGCCUGGCCUGACCCUCUCAGUAGAGGAAGACCAGGAAAGGGGCUUGUUGAGUCUCGAAAAGUCCCCUUCCCAGGCUGGGAGCUUUAGUCCUGGGACAAGUCACUAGAAUAUUCUCUACAAGGGCAGGGAUUUUGGUCUGCCUUGUACACUGUUUCAUCCCUGGGGCCUAAGACUAUGCCUGUCACAUGAUAGGUGCUCAGUAAAAACUUGUUGAAUUAGAGGCCAUUUUCCUUUUUGACACUAAUUCAGGACUCACCUCCUACCAAAACAUCUCCUUGAAAAAGCUCUCCCAACUUCUGUGAGAACCACUCCAAAGCAGUGAAUAUCAAAUUCAUUUGCAAAUAUAAUCAAUUGAAUUCCAACAACUGGCUAUUCUGAAAGGGAAAAAUGAUGAAUUUGGACUAUUAUUGUUGUGUAGCAAGCCCUAUGCUGGUUGCUUUACAAACGUUAUAUGGCUAAAUCCUGAGGGAAGGCCCUGUUGUACAAACAAGGAAACUGAGGCUUGGGGAAAUUACAUUGUGCACCUAAAUGUACACCUCUAGGAAAUUGCAGAACUGGGAUUCAAACCUACUCCUGAUUCAACCCUUCCCCUGGCUUUUUGUCUGAAUUCCAUGGAAUUAUUUUUUUCCAAUUACUUUUGUGAUCCAAAAGGUAAAUUCCACAAAGAUUUGUUUAGCUCCUGUGUGUGCCCGAGGGUGGACAGGGUGCCCCAAAAUUCCCAGUCUGUAGAGCCACCAGGCCAAGGGACAGCUGAGCACUGGACCUGAUGGAAGCUCCUGUGACAGUUGACCCAGUCUCCCCAUGGCUGUGGUUCCCAGCAACUCUGGCCCUGCCAGCCCUGACUUAGUGACACCUGCCAUCCAGACCAACAAUGGAUUACCCUCCAAAGCAGAGCACAUGCCAGACUUGUCCGUUCUUCCGGGAAAGCUCGCUCUCAGCGUUUAGUCAUUGGCCAGAGCUGGAAAGGCAACUCAUGGGGCCAUCACCCCUCGUGGUCCUCCGCGCUGCUUGUGGACUGCAGGCAGAGAUGGGGAGCUCACUUUUCUACCUAGUUCUUCCCUGGAUUCUUAUGCCAGCCAAGCAUGACAGGACUCAUCCUGCAGGCUGCCCACCUCAGAACCCGCCACAUUUGCUGAAACAUUCUUUGUGACUGUUCCCAUUCCCGUGUCUGUGUGCAAAUGUCUCUUCCCCCCAUUCUUAUUAUCUCCUGGGACUCACCAGGCACUGGCCAUAAAUUAUUCUAAUCUUCAUUAAAGCCCUACCAUUAUGACCCCCCUUUGAUGUGUAGGAAAGCUAAAGCUUGGAGCUUGGAGAGGUCAUGGAUCCUGUCCAAGGUCACAGACUCUAAAGGUCAGAACCAAGAUUUGAAUCUAGAGCUGCCAGCUCCAAAGAAGUUCCCUAAGCUAGUCUUUCCCCAAACUAGCUAUUUAUCAAAAUUUGCUGAAAAGCUUUUUAAAACUACAUCUUCUUUAAAACAAAGCUGUGAAAAAAGAAUGAGGCAGCUCUCUAUCAUCAAUAUGGUGCUGUGUGUGCCUAGAACAUCUCCAGAAAGAAGGCAAGUAGCCAGCCACCACUGGCCCUGGGGACAGGCCCAGGCAGGAGCACGGGAGGCAGACUUGCUUGUCACUGUCUUCUCUUCAGCACUGGUUGAUCCUCCCUCUCUCCCUCCUGUUCCCCCUCCCUUCCUCCCUCCCUUCUUCCUUCCUUCCUUCUUUCCUUCCUUUCAUCCAUCCUUCCUUCUUUCCUCCCUUCCUUCCUUUCUCUGUUCUUUUCACCUUUUCAAAAACAUAUGGAAAUAAUUUUUAAGUCAAACAAAACUAUAGAUUCCAGGGCCUCAUUGCCAGACCUCCUAUAAAACAGGGUUUCAGGGCUGGGUCCUGGGAAGCUGUAGUUUUACCAAGCAUCUUAAGUGGACCCUGGAGCCGUCUAAUCCCAGCCUCCUAGAGGUCUGAACGAGUCUCGUCUCACCUAGCAUGUCCCUUUUCCCCUGAUCCUGAGUCCAGGGUUCGGUCCUGCCAGUGCCUGACUGAAGGCUGCCUCAGACACCUGUGAGUCCUCUCCACAAUGUCUCCCCAGAUGUCUUUUCCAGGCAGAUAUCAUGAGCCCCAGAUCUGCCAAUAAGCCAGUGACACCCAAGGACAAAGCCCCUCUGUCCUGUGGCCCUGCUAAAGCUCAGAGGUCACACCUACUCUUAGGUCUUGCCACCACACACACCUGGGCCUGCCACCCUCAGCCCCAGAGCCCUCAGCCUCCAAGGUCAGCCAGGUCUACAUUAUUAGUUUCCCUCGUAUGAACGGCGGCCUCCUCACUCCACUGUUCUGCUGCUUGGCUUUUUCACUUCGUAAUCUCUCUGGGAGGUCUGUUAACAUUCCACAGCAGCGCAUCUAGAGCCGCAGAGCGUUUCCCUGUGUCGAGGUGUCGGCAUCUGUCUGGGAGUGGUGGGAGCAUGAGAAGCUCUGGAGCCAGACAUCCUGGGUUCCAAGUCCAGCUCUUCUGCACUAGCUGUGUGACCUGGGGCAAGUUCUUCAUCUCUGUGCUGUGAGGAUGGAAGGAGCUGAGACGGGUAGAGCUCUCUGAGUAAUGGCUGGCACAUAGGAAGUGCACAACGAAUGCUCUCAUGAUCGUUGCUCUCAUUGGAAUCUCAGAGGGAAGAUGAAUAAGGGCUGGUAAUCGAUGACAGCGCUCUGGAGUCAGACAGCUUGGCAUCUAGUCCCCGCUCUGCAUCUUUCUAGCUCUCUUACUAACCUCUCAAAGCCUCAUUUGACGGUCAAGGAUGGUGUCUGGUACCAAGUAGAUGCCCAAGAAGCAUUCAUAGACUGAACAACGGAGUGAAAGUGGGGUAGAGGACAGCUGCCUCCAUCUCUCCCUCGGGCCGCUGGUGAGGGUCUAUUGGUACAUCUGGCAGGGGGCCAGGGGCACUGUCUGGUCCUGGCCCUCCUUCUCCACAGUGCCCAGGGUGAUCACAGCCUGAGGAAGACGCUAGACUUCCAAAUACUCAUUAGGGAGGAGAAACGGGCCUGCCACCCACACCAGGCACAUGCCCGUCAGUGCCAUCAGCAUACCCUUCCUGCCGAGAAGCUGGACCACAGGAAGCCAACCACAGUCAGAAGCCACAUCAUUCAUAUCCAGGAGAAAACAUCGCCUUGAGGGCCAGAAAGGCUCCAUGGCCAUGUGGUGGGCGAGGGAUCUUAAGGCAGCUGGAUUCGAGAACGUCUGGACUUAGCCUGAAGGAGAACAGAAGAAGCCAAAGUAUAGCCCGUGUGGCUGUGCCCAUGGGCCUGGAUUCUUCUGAGCCUUGUUCACCGACCUUGGAGGAGCUGCCACCUGUGCCUCCAGGGUGCCUCCUGCCAUGGCCAAUUGAGCCCCGUUCUGACACCCCAACCCUUCUGUAGCCCGUCUGCUUUGCUCUCCCGACUGAAGCAGGAGGAGGAGGAAUGUCGCCUCUGAGCUCUGAGCCCUCUGCCCAUGGGCUAGUUUUCCAGGACUUUCCAGAGAUGGUUAGGUGUUCACUUUCAGGCAUAGCUAACUCGUUUAUGCCUUAGUUUAGUAGUUAUUUAUCUGUUCAAGCUCCCCUUAAUAGACUGAAAAUCCCAUGAGGCCAAGAGGCAAACUCUUGCUUAUCUUAUUACCAUUCCUAGGGAUUGAGUGAAGCUCAAGUGUAACACCGUUAUUAUUAACAUCCCCAAAGGUCAAGGGAUAAAACAGUAGCUAGAUUAAUUGAGCACAUAUGAUAGUCUAGGCAUGGCACUGAGCACUUCACAGGUUUAACUCAUUUAAUCCUCACGACAAUUCUGAGAUCAAUGCUAUUACGAUCUUCACGUAUAGGGAGGAAACUGAGGCACAGAGCAGUUGAUUGACUCGUCCAAGGUCACACAAACUAGGAGGUGACAGGAUUCAACCCCCAGCAUUCUCGAUCCUGAACUCAUUUUCAACCACACCUUGAGCAGUCGGUGGGUGUUUGUGGAGUGACUGAGUGUCCAACGUGCAGACAUGCAGGCACACCGUUGGGGAGGGUUGAGGGGACCAGGCGUGGGUUUCUGGACUCAUUUGGGGCUGAAGUCAGCAGCUUGGCAUCUGAAGGCCUCUCAGCUCUGGCUCCUCCUUGUCCUACCACCCACCUGGCCCCGCACGGGCUGCCCAAACAGGACUCCGUUGCUAGGGCCUUGGCAGGGCUGCCGUGCCUGAUACUCCCUGCCCCCUGUGGGAACCCAGCCUCUCCCUGCCAUGUCCAUCAAGGUCACCCAGCGUGGCCUGGCUGCCAGCUGCUCCCAAGGCACUGGGCCGGGUGUUCCAUCUCUUUCCCCACCCUGCUUCUUCGGGCCUUCUCGAAUAAUCAGUUGUUGAGAGCAUGGACUCCAGGGUCAGACUUCCUAAAUUCAAAUCCUGGCUCUACUAUGGGCUUGUUAAUUAACCUCUCUGUGCCUCAUUUCCUUUUCUUUAAAACGGAAAUCCAAACAGAUUGUUGUAAGGAUAGGUGUGAGGAUUCAAUGGGUUAAAACACGUAAAAGGCUUAGAACAGUGUUACACCUCAGAGCAUAUAAGUUUUUGUGAAUAUUAUGUUUCUUUCUACCCAUGCAUUUAGAUUGAUGACUAAACAGCGUGUACAGAGGGAGGGCAGGGGUUGCAUGGCAUCAAAGUGACGCUGGGCUAUAGUCAGCUCUGGAAAAACCGGAGCCAAGCUGCCUGGCACCCCCUUGCUCUCCCUUAAAGUCAUUUCAGUUGGGGCGGGGUGAGGAGAGGCCCCACUCCCCACACACCUGGUUCCUGGAGACCCUCUGCUAAGACAGAUAAACAACAUCAGCCCGUUCAACACUUAGAGUCCAGGUAGAAGAUAUAUUUGAUGCAUUUAAAUGGAUUUUUAAAAAUCUUUAUCAAAGUUGUUCAUGCACGAGGAAUCACUCAGCUCCCUAGGGUUCCUUACACACAGCAGUCUCACUCAGCAGAACGGCCAGUUCACCUGCCGUGACAGAUUCUUCUGGAGCCUCUGGCAACAACUCAUAUGCACAGCCUUCCGGCCCUCCCCUGCUGUAAUCCGCAUGUCAUUCUGGUUAGAUGGGAAUAGAACACGACCUUGUAAAAGCAUUGACAGCCAGGGUUGAGCCAUUUAGUAGAUUGUGAUUGUUUUUCCUUUGUACAACAUUUUAUUCUCCUUGGAAUUGAUGAUAGUGUUUGCUGUUCACUUAAUUUUCUAUGUACUUAGAACUAGUUCAGUGGCUGCUCACUUUAUAAUAACAACAAUAACUAACAUCUGUUGAGCACUUUUCUAGGUUCCAGGCACUGUAAGUACUUUCCAUGUAGUAACUCAUUUAGUCCUCACAAUAGCCCUCUGCGGUGUACCCUAUGACGAUCUCAUUUUACAGGUGAAGAAAUUGAGGUACAGAGAGGUUGAGUGACUUGUCCACAGUCCCAGAGCAAAUAAGUGGCAGAGGCAGGAUUUGAACCCAGGCUCUUACCACUGCAGGGUCUGCACCCACCUGGCCCCUUCAGGCCCCUGGGAGCCCAUCUGCAUGCCAAUCUCCUCCAGGCCCUUCCUUGCCCUCUCACUGCUUUCUGUCUCCACAGCCGGACUGUAAGCUGGGUGAGGGCAGGCCCUAUGUCCUGCUCCUUUGCAGUCCUGGAAGCAGGGCUGGACCCACAGACCUCCCAGUGCUUGCCAGGACGGUCCUGCCCUGGGCUGCCUACUUGUCCACCAGUUCCUCCACCCCAGGCCUUACUGGUGGGAGGCAGGGCAGGGAACACAGCCGGUGCCGUCACAGCCGGGCCUACAGAGGCUCAGAGAGGCCAAAUAAGGGCCUCAAGGCCUCACUGUUAGGAGCCUGGGGUUUGAACCCCCUCCUCUGGCUGCAAGUGCAAGGCUGUUCCUAACCUGCUAGGCUGCCUCCUACGGGCACAGACACACAUACCACACGUUACCCACGCAAAUCUGCAAACGUAUACAUUUCACAUAUGCUAAUUAUGCACACAUGUUUCCACAUGGAUAUAUUAUGUACACAUGCUUACAGACACAGUUGAAUUUCAUAUACACAUCCACACACAUAGUACACAGGCAUCCUCAUUAUACACACAUGCAUUACAUUCACGAGCAUUUUAACACAGAAACACGUUAUAAAAACACAUACAUACCUUAUUUACAAACACAAACCCAUGUAUAUUAUAUAUUCACACAGACACAGAUGCACACAACAUAUACACAUAUUGUACAGACAAAAACACACACACAGGAGGCUGGUCCAGUGGCGUAGUGGUUAAGUUCGUGCGCUCCACUUUGGAGCCCUGGCAUUUGUGGGUUUGCAUCUGGGUGCAGACCUCAAACCACUCAUCAAGCCAUGCUGUGGUGGUGUCCCACAUGCAAAAUAGAGGAAGAUUGGCACAGAUGUUAGCUCAGCGACAAUCUUCCUGAAGCAAAAAGAGGAGGAUUGGCAACAGAUGUUAGCUCAGGGUCAAUCUUCUUCACCUAAAAAACGAAGAAACGAAUGAAAUACACACACACAAAUAUGUAGAUACAUACACAUACACAUGUAAACAUACAACCCACAUUUGCAUAACACAUGCUUACAAACAUAUAGUCGCACAAACACAUGCACCUAUUUUUCAAAUGUUAAAACACAAACAUUUGCACACAACCCACAAAACAUGCACAAAUAAACAAGACACACAAAACAUUGGUGAGCAAACAUACAAGCAUAUGUGCACAUCCACAGGUGCAAAAACUUGCACAAAUACACCCACACAUACACACGCAAAUACACACACGUGCAUGCAUGCACAUGUACUUGUGGUGCCUGCCUGGCCUGAUUUAGAGGGGGAGCAAAGGGAGAAGGCCGAUGUGUCCAGGGCCUGCAGCCAUCGGCUGACUUGCAGGGAGGCUGUUUCCUGAGCUUCCCUCGGGGUUGCAUAUGGCACACCUCCCUUGGACAGGGCUGGGGUGGCACCUGCCUCGUUGCAUCAGCAGGGGGCAGCCAAAAGGGGGCAUACAGUCCCCAGGCUGGAGGAUUGAGGGUCCCCCAGACCCCACGCCCUGCUCUGGAUUACCACUAGGGUUAGCACAGCCACACUCAGGGAGGCCUACGAAGCUGCAAUUCUCUUUUACAAAUGAGAAAAUGGAGGCUUGGCCAAGAGAGUUCAGUUUUGUGAAACCCAGUUAAGGAGAGAGGGGACUUGAGCCUGAGUCUGUCAGAACCCAAAGCUCCAUGUUGCUGUACACCUGUGCGAGUCUAGGCUUCCCACACCUGGGCUAUGCACACAGCAGGUGCUAUAUCUGUGCGUGGGGUGGACAAAGUCACUGAUCUGAAGGACAGCAGCACCUUGGGCCCUGGGGUCUAACAAGAGACCCAGAAUUCUGAGGCAAUGUAGACCUUCUGUAUGUUUGGGGACCCUGCCUUUAUGGCCCCCAGCCCACAGGUCCAGCGUCUGUGUCUGCUGGGGGCCACCAGCCUAGGGAGGCCCCCGCAGAGGCUCCCGGGCGUGGUCCCUUCCUCUUGCCCUUGGCCUCCUUCCCCAGCCUGGUCUCCCCGCCACGAGCAGCGCUCCCCAGAUACAUUCCUCUCCCUCAGACAUGCAGUGUGGUUCUAGGGCUCGCACUUUCUCCGCAGGAUCUGAUUCGCUGCUCAGGCAUUUCCUCGAGUGGCCCCUCAGUGUUUGCCCUCGUCCAGAUGGCAUCCAGAUGCAAACAUCCUCCUUCCCCCCACUGCUGCUGCUUAGCUGGGGGAAAUUAAUCCUGACCCCCACCUCACACCCACCUCCUCGCAUCACUGCUUUUGUGUCUCGACCGAGGUCAGGGCAUGGGCUAACACCUCUGCCUGCUUCUCUCUCUAGAGCCGGGGGCCUCUCGCUCUCCUACGAUCUGCCUCUCCCCUCAGUCUUUGUUCAAUUCCCUAGGUAAUGGCUCUGUGAGCCAAGCCAGUGUCAGCAUGAAGAGGGGAGCGAUGCAAUGCGGUUCUGGCCCCGCAGGAGGGGAAAGAGCAGGAUGCGUGCUUGCGUUCAGGGAGCAGGUGGCAAGUGCUCUACAGCUCCAGCUGAGGUCCUUGGAGAUGACCAAAUCCAGAUGAGAAAACAGAGACGCAGCAGAGGACAAAUAACAAUCGUGCUGAUAGUUAUGGACCAGUGUUCAUGUGCAACAAUAUGAAGAUCGGCUCGUGUAGUCCUGUGAGCUGGGCAUGAUUGUUCCCAUUUUACAGAUGAGGAAACUGAGGCCUGGAACGGAGAGAAAAACUAACCAGAGCAACCAUCCAUAGAAUACCUUCUCUGUGCCGGGCACUACAGAGAGAGAUCAGCUAGCUUAAUCUUUGGAACACCUUGAGAGCGGGGCAUAGUUGUCCCCAUUGUAUAGGUGAGGUAACUGAGGCUCGGAGAGGCUAGUAACUCUUACAAGACCUCGUGGCUACUUAAGUGGCAGAACUUGGCUCUAAACCAAGGCUUCCAAAGCCCCCGGGGCCUCCUGUGUGGCCUGGUUGGGUCAGUGGCAGGGCCAGGCCUUUGGCCACUGUCUCCAGAGCCCGGACCUGGCACAGUGACAGCCGCCCUGGUGGGAAACAGCUCCAGGAGGCCAGUGGACCGUCCUGGGUAGGAAUUCCUGUGCCCAGGGGAGCCUUAUUGCCCCUUAGGGCCCUUGCUGAUCUCCACUCACCCUCUGCUUCCCCUUAAAAGUUAAUAUUUACACACUCUCCCCACACCGCUGCAAUGCUGCAUGGACAUCUAAGUGGCUGGGAGGGCUUCCCUGGUCCCAGGGCCCCCUAAUCCCUUUUGGGCUCCAACUGGGGCCCAUCGGACUCCAGCCGGCCAGAACGAUGGGGCAGUUGUGCUCUCCUCUCUUUCAUUGUGCACAGUCAAGCUUCCUUGACAGAAAAUGGGAUGUUUGGCCCUGGCUCCAGGCUGCCACGUAGGCAUUUUCUAGAACCACUGGGCAUGGGACCCCAGAGGUGUGAGGAGUGAGGGCUGGGGUCAGGCUAUGGCCUCACCAAGCCUCAAGUGGCUGAGUAGGACAUGCCCGGUAACACUACAGUGCGCCUGAGGUGUGUGGGCAGAGUCCUCUGGGCCCACGGAGGACACACCUGUCCCUCUGGUCUCCCCACCCCCAGAUAACAUCAGAGCUGGACAUGCAAGGCACAGGGCUGGAACUUCUCACCUGCCUACCCCCCAACCCCAACACCUCCUCCAGGUGGCCUCCCAGCAUGCUGAAGGGUGUGUGCCAGCGCUGGUUGGACUCUUCUCUCCUCACUCCCUUCCCUUUGCCUGUUGUGCUUCCUUCCGGAUUCUAAGUGAGCUUGACUUUGCAG
ensembl:lncRNA